AUUGCAUAAUGCAGUAGCAACUGGAUUUGCAGCAGAAACACCCUGCUAAAGAACAAGUAUCUUGGUUUACAGCAAAGAGGACAAAAGAAAACAGCAAGUUCUAGGGGGUUGAAUGCUGGAUUAUGCUACCGUUGCUGGGGAAAUGUCACUGUUAGAGAAUAGAAAACUAUUAUUCCAAAGAGGACUGAAGACUGACUGAAUCAGGUCUGGAACAUUAUUGAAAUGAUACUCCUUGUGGAUGGUGCUUAGAACACUCCAGGUCCAUGGUGAUUGGCUUUCAGAUACCUCCCAUUGCCACUUAGUGACAGCCCUAGGGACUUGGAAGGAUUGCAGUGGCUAUUUCCUCCUGGCUCUUCAUCCAAUGAGAUCUCUGGGGCUAAUCUGACAACCAUCCUUAUCAACAAUGCAGGUUUAUGGCAUACUAUUGGCUGUGGAGCACUUCAAAAGGACUUUGGUUUGAAUCGUACUCCCUUGUGAUGAGAAAAAUCCUCAUCUUCAUUUUGCUUUACGUCUCCUGGCUCUCGGCUGUAGGUGAACAUGUGGGAAGACUCAGGCUGGAAGGAGCCUAUCAACCUACAGGGACAUGGAGAUGUGGGAAGAGCAGUGAUGACCCAUCUGGUUAUGAGACACUUGGAGACGAAGAAUUAGAGACAAAGAUGUCAGGUUGAAAGGAUCCCUGGGGGUAUUCACCAUGGGCAGCAGAAGUGGUUGUCCACAUGGGACUAGACACCCAUCUUCAUCUUCAUUCUCUGGAUAAUUGGGAAAAUAUAAUAUAUUAUUCUGUGCUGGUCAAAUUUUUGUUUUUGGUUUCUCAGUGGAGGGAGGAAUAAUAAAAGGUAGGAAAGAAAAAGUUGUAAAUCAUUUAGGAAGAAGGCAGAGGCUCUAGAAAUAGUCUUUGUGGAAAGAAUAUCAUAUGAUAUGUUUACAAGAAGGUAAAUUUUGUUGCAAGGGAAAUGAGGAACAAAUCAAUAUAAGGUAAAGGAGGUGCCAAAUCAUAGGAAAGAGGAGAGACAGAAACAUUUUUUUGAACUUGUCAAAACAACUCAUUAUUUCACUCUCUGUGCCAAGGUCUUAAGAGUCUCUACAUUUAUUUCUGUUUGCUCCUCAGACCACUGUAACUAUUUAGUUUCAGCAUUCAUUUCCCCCUACAGACAGAUAUUGCUUUAUUUCUAAAAUACUUAUCAUCCAUACUGUGAAGAUUAUAAUUGGACAUACUUUCCUAUAAGUAACUGUCUUUGAUUUUUCCAACCAUGGUUAAAAUAUUUAUUUUUUUCUAACAUUGACUUUGAGAUUUUCUCCAAAUUCUUGGAGACAUCACGUGCAUAGACAGGGUAUGGCACAUUUCACAGCAAAUGCAUUUGCUGCCAGAAUGAUCAAGAGUUAAAAGAGAAAUCACACACAAAGGCUGACAUAGGAACAAAUGUCCAACUUGCUUUACUUGAGAAGUACACUGCUAUAAGUGGAUGAUAUUCUUCUAUACAAGUGUAAAUGGGGAAGGUACUUCAUCAUCAUGCAGCCUCCUGUUCUAGCAAGUCUGCCUCCAAAGAUAGCUCCAAACGCACAUAAAGGACUCAGGCUCUGUAAGUCAGAGAGAAUGUCAGGAAAAAGAGAGAUCAGUCGAUAUCUCAGAUAGUUGGUGCCAAGAGGAUGGAAGUAAAAAUUGAGAGGAACAAUCUAUAGCCAGAAGUGGAUUUAGAGGAACAUUAGUAAGGAAGUAAACACUGAAAAUUCAAAGUGUAAAUGCCCAAGAGGGAGCCAUCUUGACAGAAAUGGUGUCAUAAAGGGUAAGUGAGAAAGGUCAUUUCUUUACAUUUUAUACUGGCAUUAUUGCAUUUUCUUUGCAGAUUGUUCUUUUCAAAUUUUUUUCUCUUUCUUUUUAAAUUUUUUUUAAAUUAUAAAAGUAUGAUAACACAUUUUCAGGAGACUUGGAAAAUACAGAACAAAGUUACAUAUAGUUCCACUCUAUGUUAAAAUUAUUUUUUAAAUAGAUAAAUUAAUAUUUUUAGUUGGAGUUCCAAUAUCAAACUCUCAAAAAUUAGCAGAAUGAAUAUACAGAGAAGUAGAAGGAUGUAGUAGACUUCAAAAGCACCAUGAACCAAUUCAACAUAAUUAAGAUUUAUCCAAUUUUCACACAACAGUAGAAUACAAAUUUUAUUCAAAAUCUGAUAGACUAUAAACUAGGAGACACUGAAACAUAUCAGGGACAUAAAACAAGAAUUUGCAGAUUGUUCUGAAGGAGCUAAAUUAUAUAUCUUAACAUCAAAUGGUAAUCAGUUAAUAAUACUCGUGUCCUCUUGUGCAUAGACUGAAGUUACUUGUGCUUAAACAGACUAGUCUGCAGGACAUGGUAUUUUUCCAAGUAUCCUCAGCUUCCUAAAAGAAACAUUGUAAAAAAAAUUAAUGAAUUUAGUUCACAGAAUACUAAAUUCGAUAAAGAAGCUUGCACUUUUAUCUCAUUCAUUAAAGAAAUUUUAUUUUCCCCUUGUGUGUUAGAAAGGUUUCCAGUCCCUCCAAGGAACCUAGGGAUCUAAGAGCCUCCAAGAAAAUACUACUUUUAAAGCAGAGUUGAUUUACAAUGUUAUCUUCAUUUCUGCUGUACAGCAAAGUGAUUAAAGCUAUAUGUAUAUAUACAUUCUUUUUUUAUAUUCUUUUCUAUUAUGGUUUAUUAUUUAUAACAGGAUAUUGAAUAUAGUUCCCUGGGCUAUACAGUGGAUCUUGUUAUUGACUCUAUACACAGUAAUUUGCAUCUGCUAAUCUCGAACUCCCAAUACUCCCUGCUUUAUUGACUACACCAAAGACUCUGACUGUGCGGAUCACAACAAACUGUGGAAAAUUCUUAAAGAGAUGGGUAUAACAGACUACCGUACUUGCCUCCUGAGAAAUGUGUAUGCAGUUCAAGAAACAACAGUUAAAACCGGACAUGGAACAACAGACUGGUUCCAAAUCAGGAAAGGAGUACGUCAAGGCCGUAUAUUGUCACCCUGCUUAUUUAACUUAUAUGCAGAGUACAUCAUGUGAAAUGCUGGUAUGGAUGAAGCGCAAGCAGGAAUCAAGAUUGCUGGGAGAAAUAUCAGUAACCUCAGAUAUGCAGAUGACACCACCCUUAUGGUAGAAAGUGAAGAGGAACUGAGGAGCCUCUUGAUGAAAGUAAAACAGAGUGAAAAAGCUGGCUUAAAACUCAGCAUUCAAAAAACUAAGUUAAUGACAUCCAGUCCCAUCACGUCAUGGCAAAUAGAUGGGGAAACAAUGGAAACAGUGAGAGACUUACUUUUUUGGGCUCCAAAAUUACUGCAGCUGGUGACUGCAGCCAUGGAAUUCAAAGACACUUGCUCCUUGGAAGAAAAGCUAUGACCAACCUAGACAGCAUAUUAAAAAGCAGAGACAUUACUUUGCCAACAAAGGUCCAUCUAGUCAAAGCUAUGGUUUUUACAGUAGUCAUGUAUGGAUGUGAGAGUUGGACUAUAAAGAAAGCUGAGCACCAAAGAAUGGAUGCUUUUGAACUGUGGUGCUGGAGAAGACUCUUGAGAGUCCUUUGGACUGCAAGGAGAUCAAACAAGUCAGUCCUAAAGGAAAUCAGUCCUGAAUAUUCAUUGGAAGGACUGAUGUUGAAGCUGAAGCUCCACUCCUUCAGCCACCUGAUGGGAAGAACUGACUUACUUGGAAAGACCCGGAUGCUGGGAAAGGUUGAAGGCAGGAGGAGAAGGAGACGACAGAGGAUUAGAUGGUUGAAUGGCAUCACCGAGUGGAUGGACGUGAGUUUAAACAAGCUCUGGGACUUGGUGAUGGACAGGGAAACCUGGCAUGCUGCAGUCCAUGGAGUCAUAAAGAGUUGGACACGACUGAGCAACUGAACUGAACUGAAUUCCUAACUCCCAAUUCAUCCCUCCCACACCCCUCCUUCUUGGCAACCACAAGUCUGUUCUCUGUGCCUGUGAGUCUGUUUCAUAGAUAAGUUCAUUUGUGUCAUAGUUUUGAUUCCACAUAUAAGUGAUAUUAUACUGUAUUUGCCUUUUU
ensembl:lncRNA